AUUGAACGCUGGCGGAAUGCUUUACACAUGCAAGUCGAACGGCAGCACGGGAGCUUGCUCCUGGUGGCGAGUGGCGAACGGGUGAGUAAUGCGUCGGAACGUAUCCAUUAAUGGGGGAUAACGCAGCGAAAGCUGUGCUAAUACCGCAUACGCCCUGAGGGGGAAAGCAGGGGAUCUUCGGACAUUGCGUUAUUGGAGCGGCCGACGUCUGAUUAGCUAGUUGGUGAGGUAAAGGCUCACCAAGGCGACGAUCAGUAGCUGGUCUGAGAGGAUGAUCAGCCACACUGGAACUGAGACACGGUCCAGACUCCUACGGGAGGCAGCAGUGGGGAAUUUUGGACAAUGGGCGCAAGCCUGAUCCAGCCAUUCCGCGUGAGUGAAGAAGGCCUUCGGGUUGGUAAACUUCUUUGUAUAGGGACGAGUAAUGACGGUGCCCUAAAACAACGACCACGGCUAACUACGUGCCAGCGAGCCGCGGUAAACAUAACUCG
rnacentral:rRNA from 1 species